rnacentral:rRNA from 1 species
AGUCGAGCGGAGAAAGUUCUUCGGAACUUUCUCAGCGGCGGACGGGUGAGUAACACGUGGGUAACCUGCCUUAUAGAGGGGGAUAGCCUUCCGAAAGGAAGAUUAAUACCGCAUAACAUUUUCGUUUCGCAUGAAAUGAAAAUCAAAGGAGCAAUCCGCUAUAAGAUGGACCCGCGGCGCAUUAGCUAGUUGGUGAGGUAAUGGCUCACCAAGGCGACGAUGCGUAGCCGACCUGAGAGGGUGAUCGGCCACAUUGGAACUGAGAUACGGUCCAGACUCCUACGGGAGGCAGCAGUGGGGAAUAUUGCACAAUGGGGGAAACCCUGAUGCAGCAACGCCGCGUGAGUGAUGAAGGUCUUCGGAUUGUAAAGCUCUGUCUUCUGGGACGAUAA